rnacentral:tRNA from 1 species
GUAUUGGUGGUUCAGUGGUAGAAUUCUUGCCUUCCAAGCAGGAGAUCUGGGUUCAGUUCCCAGCCAGUGCA